rnacentral:lncRNA from 1 species
CCCAUUUAUUUAUUAUAAAAUCUCUUAGUUCAUCAUACUUUGAACUUACUUGCUUGGAUCCUAUCCAAGGAUUUAGCCCAAGUCCAAUUUGAAGCCUUUGGGGUUCGAUUUAAAACCAAAUUGGGUCCACAUGGGUUGAUUGAGUUUUUUAAUUAAAGGAUUGGGUCUGGUUCAUGAUCAAUUAGAUAUGCUGAGACCAACUCAGCUUAAUUGGGUUCGGACCCAUUCUAAUUUAACUUAAUUUAGCUCGGAUUUAACCCAAUUUACAGUUUGGGCUCGUCCAGACUUAGCCCAAUCUGAUUGAGCUCGGAUUUAGACUUAGCCCAGUCUUAUUGGGCUUGGGUAGUCAAAUUUGGCUAAACCCAUUUCAUUUCGUUUUUUUUUCCUUCUCUUUUUCUUCUUUUUCUUUUCUUUUUCUUUUUCUUUUCUUUCUUUUUUUCCCCUUCUCUUCUUUAGAACCUUCCCGACACCCUCCUCUCUUCCCCCUUUCUCCUCCUCUCUUCU